CUCGGCCCAGAGGCUUUACAUUGUGGUGAUGUCACAGGUUGUUAAAUUGCUUUUCUCGGCUUGAGGAAAGUUUCAUAAUUAUAAAAACAUCAACUGCACUAGCAAG